rnacentral:rRNA from 1 species
GUGGGGAAUCUUAGACAAUGGGGGAAACCCUGAUCUAGCCAUGCCGCGUGAGCGAUGAAGGCCUUAGGGUUGUAAAGCUCUUUCAGCUGGGAAGAUAAUGACGGUACCAGCAGAAGAAGCCCCGGCUAACUCCGUGCCAGCAGCCGCGGUAAUACGGAGGGGGCUAGCGUUGUUCGGAAUUACUGGGCGUAAAGCGCGCGUAGGCGGACCAGAAAGUUGGAGGUGCAAUCCCAGGGCUCAACCUUGGAACUGCCUUCAAAACUCCUGGUCUGGAGUUCGAGAGGGGUGAGUGGAAUUCCGAGUGUAGAGGUGAAAUUCGUAGAUAUUCGGAGGAACACCAGUGGCGAAGGCGGCUCACUGGCUCGAUACUGACGCUGAGGUGCGAAAGCGUGGGGAGCAAACAGGAUUAGAAACCCGGGUAGUCC